rnacentral:tRNA from 11 species
AGCCGAGUGGCUAAGCCACAGGCCUUCCUAGCGGAAGGUCGGGAGUUCGAAUCCCGGUGUU